rnacentral:rRNA from 1 species
AUGAACGCUGGCGGUAUGCUUCACACAUGCCAGUCGAACGGACUCUUCGGAGUUAGUGGCGGACGGGUGAGUAACGCGUGAGAAUCUGGCUUUGGGUUCGGGACAACCACUGGAAACGGUGGCUAAUACCGGAUGUGCCGAGAGGUAAAAGAGAAAUUGCCUGAAGAUGAGCUCGCGUCUGAUUAGCUAGUUGGUGAGGUAAAGGCUCACCAAGGCAGCGAUCAGUAGCUGGUCUGAGAGGAUGACCAGCCACACUGGGACUGAGACACGGCCCAGACUCCUACGGGAGGCAGCAGUGGGGAAUUUUCCGCAAUGGGCGAAAGCCUGACGGAGCAAUACCGCGUGAGGGAAGAAGGCUCUUGGGUUGUAAACCUCUUUUCUUAGGGAAGAACAAAAUGACGGUACCUAAGGAAUCAGCAUCGGCUAACUCCGUG